GAACAGGAAAGGGAGGGGGAGGGAGUAGGGAAGCUGCCAGGGCUGGUGAGCCUGGAUGCACCGGCUUGCUGUGAAUGGGGAGCAGGCUGCGAGAAGAGGGUGGUACUGUGAGUGGGGAACAUGUGUGCACAAGAAGUAGAAGGCUUUGGCCCAGAUAUUACGCUCAGAAGACUUCCCCAGACUGGAUUAGGGAUGCUGGUGGCCUCAGCCGGCAGCCCCCAAAGAAGGAAUUGGGUGGAAUGAAUGGACAAUGUGCCUCUUCUGAAGCCUAGCAAGGGAGGUAUGUGGACCCCACCAGGAGAAGUUAAAAUAAGUAAGAGAGGGAAGGCUCUACUUGAGCAGCUUUAGGUACAGUACCAGGCACACAGGAGGAUGUGACUCAAUUUCCACCUCUGAGAGACAGAAGCAGAAAUUGGCUUUUCCUUUCCAGAUUUAUCUAAUAUUCAGAAAGGGAAUCUAGCACCUGCCUUCCAGAUUUGAAUGCCAUCAAAGUUCAGGAGCACUCAAGUUCAAUUUGGGCCGUUCUCUGUUAUUUCAUUUCUCCCAAAUCAAAUACUGAUCCACUGUAAUUUGCUGUAGAAAAAGUAGGAUAAAAUUGAGCAACAAAUCCUGACAUCUUCCCAAUGCUAACUAGGACCAGAAUUGCUAUUUUCAACAACCAUUACCAUUUUUUGUUUGUUUAAAAAGAAGGUGACAGUAAUAUUGCAUUGGCAAGUUCUCCACAGAAACUAAGAGUGGAACAAAAGAACAGCAAAGGCACCUCAACUUUUCCUCAUUAUGUGGGACAGUCUUACAAUAUGGAUCCAGAUAUCCUCUAUUCACACAAACUGAAAAUUGUUCCACUUUACUGCAGUUCUGUAACCAUGCAGGAACUGGUCCUGCGUUCUGUGCACAUUCAAAAUUCCUACUGAAUUCAGAAGUGCCUUGCUUUUGUAGCCAUACCACCUGAUAUUUUCAAACCUUGUAAGAAUGAACUUGCCUGAGGAGGAAUAAUAUGAGGAAGCCAGCACACAGCUUCACUGGAGAAGGAAAGGAUGAGUGGGCUAUACAGGCUGAACUAACUUCAGUACUGAAGAUGUUCCCUGCAGGGCAAACGCUGAAGCAUGUUAGUGGAGAAUGGCACAGUACGUGUGGGAAGUGCUUCCCUCCCAUGAUUUUUUCUUCUUGUUUUCAGAUUCCUAGAACAAUCAGUGACUGGUUCCAGUCAUGCUCCUCUGUAUCAGAUAUGGACUGGAUACAGAGCUUGCUUAUAGACAUGCCAGGUGUCUUCAUCAUAAGAUUCUUUAAUGCUCUGCCAAUUAUGGCUCAGACUAAGCCUGUGAAGACAGAAAACUAGCAUAUGAUCUGGCCAUUUUGACUGACAAAGGGUAACUGGUAACUAUGGUGUCAAUGGACAUGUGUGUCAAGACCAUGGUUUGAGGGCAAACACAAAGAAAAUGAAGUUGCACUAGUAGGGAAGAUGGCAGAGCUGUUGAUUGAAAUUUCAGGAGAGAAGCUGAAUCAGAAGAAUGAAUAUGUACUUGGGAAGGACACUUAGUGCCAUCGGAAAGAUCUGGAGAACUGAAAAGAAGAAUCCAACACGAUCUAUGCAGAUCCACAUAGGCCUUUUCUAGACUAGAGGUAUGUCUACUCUAGUAUUCUUAACCAAUGUAGUUAAUAUCUUUUAUGAAGCCUAAUCUGGACAUUCCAUAAGUGUUUGUUCCAGGCUACUUUUGUAAUCUGGAACAAAUGUUCAUGAAGUGUCCAGUUUACAAGUUGUCCAGACUAGAGUGAGGUACCAUUUUUUCUGCUGGAGUU